rnacentral:rRNA from 1 species
AUUGAACGCUGGCUGCAUGCUUUACACAUGCAAGUCGAACGGCAGCGCGGGCUUCGGCCUGGCGGCGAGUGGCGAACGGGUGAGUAAUGCAUCGGAACGUGCCCAGUAGUGGGGGAUAGCCCGGCGAAAGCCGGAUUAAUACCGCAUACGACCUGAGGGUGAAAGCGGGGGACCGAAAGGCCUCGCGCUAUUGGAGCGGCCGAUGUCGGAUUAGCUAGUUGGUGGGGUAAAGGCUUACCAAGGCGACGAUCCGUAGCUGGUCUGAGAGGACGACCAGCCACACUGGGACUGAGACACGGCCCAGACUCCUACGGGAGGCAGCAGUGGGGAAUUUUGGACAAUGGGGGCAACCCUGAUCCAGCCAUGCCGCGUGCGGGAAGAAGGCCUUCGGGUUGUAAACCGCUUUUGUUCGGGAAGAAAUCCUCUGGGCUAAUACCCCGGGGGGAUGACGGUACCGGAAGAAUAAGCACCGGCUAACUACGUG